UUCCCCUCAACAAAGGGUGCGAAAUUACGUGCUUAUCGUGAGCUGUACGAUUAUUUAAAGCUGUUUACGGACCAGCUAGCUGUGGACAUUACUUCGCGUGUAACUGCGGAGAAGCCGCAUCAUCCAACGAUUCUCAACAUAUUUCAUUGUAAAAGUACAUUUCUUAUGUCGACGGAGCUGGACCUAAACAACAUUGUUCAUUCGAGCGACAAAGCCUUUAUACAAAAAUAAAUGCAAAAUAUUGAAAGACUCUUCUAGGUAUCUUCUGCAAACAUAUGUAAAGUAACUUUGAGUGACUUCCAUAGGUGACCACGGCGACACUUCCAGAAGUUACUUCGGCGAUAUCGCAUUCGGAUCGCGGAAGUGACUCCCGUCGGGAAGAAAUGUGCAACUUCGGCAGCAUCGUUUUUAUCUUCUAUAAGUCACUUAAUAGUGCCUUCCGCGAUAGAAAAUGCUUGCAAGGUGCUGAAUUGUUUUUAAAGAUUGCAACUGCAAAAGCCAUGGCUGCAUUGAGUGUGUUUUUCUCAAGAAUUUGCGCCCCCUUCCAUUACGUUAAUUUAAAUGUAUAUAUUUAUAAGCACUUAUAUGUACCAUAAUGUUAUAUUAUACGCUUUAAAAUAAUCAAACAUUAAAUAACUG